rnacentral:lncRNA from 1 species
GGAAGCAAAGGGGUUGAAGUGGGUGAAAGAAAAUGUCCUUUGGGUAAAAAUUAGAGCCAUUUCUGAUGUCUGCGCAGGUGUAAUCUGUUACCCUGAUUAGGGUAACCGGUUACACAGUGCCAAAGUGGCCAAAAAAGCAGUUUUUGGUCUGGGUAAUUGGUUACCAUGAUUAGGGUAACCGGUUACCCAAUUUUUUAUUUUUUAUUUUAUUUUAUUUUAUUUUAUUUUAAUUUUUUUUAAUAAUGAAUGUAUGCAUGUGCAUUAGGGUCAUG